rnacentral:ncRNA from 1 species
AUUCCAGAGGUGAUAUAGCUUAGGCUAUAUCACUCCGGCAGCAAGCGAAGGUGUCAUUGACACCCGUGGUAUAGUCCCCCCGGCUAUACCACGAUAUUUUUUU